rnacentral:rRNA from 1 species
GAUGAACGCUGGCGGCGUGCCUAAUACAUGCAAGUCGAGCGAACAGACGAGGAGCUUGCUCCUCUGACGUUAGCGGCGGACGGGUGAGUAACACGUGGAUAACCUACCUAUAAGACUGGGAUAACUUCGGGAAACCGGAGCUAAUACCAGAUAACAUGUUGAACCGCAUGGUUCAACAGUGAAAGACGGUCUUGCUGUCACUUAUAGAUGGAUCCGCGCAGCAUUAGCUAGUUGGUAAGGUAACGGCUUACCAAGGCAACGAUGCGUAGCCGACCUGAGAGGGUGAUCGGCCACACUGGAACUGAGACAUGGUCCAGACUCCUACGGGAGGCAGCAGUAGGGAAUCUUCCGCAAUGGGCGAAAGCCUGACGGAGCAACGCCGCGUGAGUGAUGAAGGUCUUCGGAUCGUAAAACUCUGUUAUUAGGGAAGAACAAAUGUGUAAGUAACUAUGCACGUCUUGACGGUACCUAAUCAGAAAGCCACGGCUAACUACGUGCCAGCCGCCGCCGUAA